ACGAACGCUGGCGGCGUGCUUAACACAUGCAAGUCGAACGGAAAGGCCCUGCUUUUGUGGGGUGCUCGAGUGGCGAACGGGUGAGUAACACGUGAGUAACCUGCCCUUGACUUUGGGAUAACUUCAGGAAACUGGGGCUAAUACCGGAUAGGAGCUCCUGCUGCAUGGUGGGGGUUGGAAAGUUUCGGCGGUUGGGGAUGGACUCGCGGCUUAUCAGCUUGUUGGUGGGGUAGUGGCUUACCAAGGCUUUGACGGGUAGCCGGCCUGAGAGGGUGACCGGCCAAAUUGGGACUGAGAAACGGCCCAGACUCCUAGGGGGGGCAGCAGGGGGGAAUAUUGCCAAAGGGGGCGAAGCCUGAGGCGGCAACCCCGGGGGGGGGAUGACGGCCUUCGGGUUUGAAACCGGUUUAGCCUGGGACGAAGGGGGAGGGGCGGGAAGGGGUAAAGAAGCAACGGCUAAAUACGU
rnacentral:rRNA from 1 species